rnacentral:rRNA from 1 species
AUUGAACGCUGGCGGCAGGCCUAACACAUGCAAGUCGAACGAGUGGCGGACGGGUGAGUAAUGUCUGGGAAACUGCCUGAUGGAGGGGGAUAACUACUGGAAACGGUAGCUAAUACCGCAUACCAUCGGAUGUGCCCAGAUGGGAUUAGCUAGUAGGUGGGGUAAAGGCUCACAGAGGCGACGAUCCCGAGCUGGUCUGAGAGGAUGACCAUCAACACUGGAACUGAGACGCGGUCCAGACUCCUACGGGAGCCAGCAGUGGUGAAUAUUGCACAAUGGGCGAAAGCCUGCUGCAGCCAUGCCGCGUGUAUGAAGAAGGCCUUCGGGUUGUAAAGUACUUUCAGCGGGGAGGCGUUACCCGAAGAAGAAGCACCUGCUAACUCCGUGCCAGCAGCCGCGGUAAUAC